CUUUGUGUGAAUGAAGGUUGAGCUUCACGGACUAAAACUUCCUCUUGUGUCCGACAUCUCAAGUUCCAGGAUAUGAACUCUCUCUACGAAAUAAAGUUAUCCCUCAUACCACGAGUCAAGUCAUCCAGUUCUGUAACAAAAACAGAAUUACCUGGAAAAACUCAGCAGGUCUGGCAGCAUUGGCAGAGAAGAAAAGAGUUGACGUUUCGAGUCCUCAUGACCCUUCAACAGAACUAGGAUAUUAGAGGGGGAAGAUUUGCAGACAGAAAUCUCAAACCAAAUGUCUUGUCAAGAUCUGACAGAGUCACUUGAUUCUUCAGGACCUGAAUAUCAUUGGCCUUUAAAUGUAGGAGAACUGUUUGUCUGUUGUGUCGACUUCAAACUAUUUUAAACAUCAGUGUGACUGAAAUAGCACCGACACACCCACCCAAAUGAGAGUUUUCCAGUGCACUGACUGUGGAAGGAGCUUUAACCAGUUGCACAGACUGAAAAAACAUCACUGUUGACAGUGAGGAGAGACUGUGCACGUGUUCCAUGUGUGGACACCUCAGCCAAUCAUCAAACCUGGAGAAACACAAGGAUACGCACACCAUGGAGAAACCGUGGAAAUGUGGGGACUGUGGGAAGCGAUUCAUAUCCCCAUCGAAGCUGGAAACUCAUCGGCGCAGUCACACUGGUGACAGGCCAUUCACCUGCUCUGAGUGUGGGAAGGGAUUCGGACAUUCAUCCACCCUGCAGACACACCAGUGAGUUCACACCGGGGAGAGGCCGUUCACCUACUUUGAGUGUGGGAAGCAAUUCUCUCAGUCAUCCGACCUGCUGACACACCAUGUCACUCACACCACUGAAAGACCCUUUAAAUGCUCUGACUGUGGGAGUAGCUUCAAAAGCUCUCAGGAACUAAUGUUCCACCAGCGCAUUCACACUGAGGAGAGACCACUCAACUGCUCCCACUGCACAAAGAGGUUUCGAAGGUUGUCGGACCUGCGGGAACACAAGCGAGUUCACACUGGGGAGAGGCCGUGCACUUGCUCUGAUUGUGGGAAAACAUUCAAAGAUUCAUCCACACUGCAGACACACCAGCGGACUCACACUGGGGAGAAGCCAUUCAGCUGCUCCGUGUGUGGGAAGGGAUUCACUCAUUUAUCCAGCCUGCGGAGACACCAACGAGUUCACAAUUGAUGACAGGGGUUGGAUUCUGCUGUUUUUGCUGCUGUUAAUCACAUCCAGGACUGAACCAUGUUCAUUCUGACACUUGGUGAAGUGGGAGGGUCGGAGGGUUUCUUUCUGCUGGACUGGCCGGUCUCACAACUUUGCUUCCGGUGGCUGAUGCUCUUUGAGCCUGGGAGUGCACAUUUCCACUGAAAUGAUCUACAAAAGCUGAUGAAGGACAUUUAUUUUAUCCUGGAUAGUAAAUAGUGAUUGUUCCUACCACUACAGGUAGAUCUAUAAUAAAUACCUUUGUCUCUGUUCCAUUGAGUCUACAUCUCAGGGCCAGGCCAGUCGGCUCAAUUGGUCUCUGUCAGUAUUUAUGCUCCACAUGAGCCUCCACCCACACCUCAUCUCCCCCCACCAGCGUAUCCUUCUAUUCCUUUCUCCCUCAUGUAUGUUUCUAGCUUCCCCUUAAAUGUAUUCAUGCGAUUCACCUCAACCACUCGCUGUGGUAGCGAGUUCCACAUUCUCACCACUCGCUGGGUAAAGUGGUUUUUCAUGAAAUCCCUAUUGGAUUAUUGAACCCCUUCAUUAUCUUAAAGGCUUCCAUCAGGUCACCCUUCAGUCUUCUCUUUUCUAGAGAAAAGCAGCCCCAGCCUUUCCUGAGGCUUAAAUGCUCUCAAUUCUGGUAUUCUUUUUGUGAAUCCUUGUUGCCCCUUCUCCAGUGCCUCUAUUUCCUUUUUCUAAAUGGAGAUCACAGAUACUGACAGUACUCCCAGUGUAGUCUAACCAUGGUUCGAAACAAGUUGAACAUAGCCUCCCUGCUUUUCAAUUCUAUCCCUCUAGAAUGGAACCCUAUAUCUGGGCCCCACACUUUAGGAAAGAUGUGAAGUUCUUCGAGAGGGUGCAGAGGAGAUUGACAAGAAUGGCACCAGGGAUGAGGGACUUCAGUCAGUUGGAGAGACUGGAGCAGCUGAAAAUGUUUUCUUUCGAUCACAGAGUCACCAAGGCAGAGGAUGGCAAUGUUGGAAAUGCAGGUCCCUUUAAGAGUAAACAGGACAAGUUUCAGGGUGAGUUGAGAGCAGGUGAUGCUCAGUGAAGCCUGUACUUAAGAGCUGGGUGUGGUUGGGGUGUGCUGCUUCUGCAGAAGGGGAGGAUCCAGAAGGGAAGAGUGGAAACUGGUAUUUGUACUGAACUAUAGUUUAACAAUAAACGGUUGUGAA